GGCGCGAUGGCGGAGUGGUUAUCGCGAUAGCCUAGAAAGCUAUUUCCUUCGGGAGCGCAGGUUCGAAUCCUGCUCGCGUCG